CAGCGACGCCGCGUGAGGGAUGACGGCCUUCGGGUUGUAAACCUCUUUCAGCAGGGAAGAAGCGCAAGUGACGGUACCUGCAGAAGAAGCGCCGGCUAACUACGUGCCAGCAGCCGCGGUAAUACGUAGGGCGCAAGCGUUGUCCGGAAUUAUUGGGCGUAAAGAGCUCGUAGGCGGUUUGUCGCGUCUGCUGUGAAAACCUAAGGCUCAACCUUGGGCUUGCAGUGGGUACGGGCAGACUAGAGUGCGGUAGGGGUGACUGGAAUUCCUGGUGUAGCGGUGGAAUGCGCAGAUAUCAGGAGGAACACCGAUGGCGAAGGCAGGUCACUGGGCCGCAACUGACGCUGAGGAGCGAAAGCAUGGGGAGCGAACAGGAUUAGAUACCCUGGUAGUCCAUGCCGUAAACGUUGGGCACUAGGUGUGGGGCUCAUUCCACGAGUUCCGUGCCGCAGCAAACGCAUUAAGUGCCCCGCCUGGGGAGUACGGCCGCAAGGCUA
rnacentral:rRNA from 1 species